AGGAUAAACGCUGGCGGCGUGCAUGAGACAUGCAAGUCGAACGGACGAUCAGGGCUUGCUCUGAUCGUUAGUGGCGGACGGCUGAGUAACGCGUAGGUGACCUGCCCCGAAGUGGGGAAUAACUGCCCGAAAGGGUGGCUAAUACCGCAUGUGGUGGUGUGUUCAUUCACACCAGUAAAGCCGCAAGGCGCUUCGGGAGGGGCCUGCGUCCGAUUAGCUCGUUGGUGGGUAACGGCUCACCAAGGCGACGAUCGGUAGGUGGUCUGAGAGGACGAUCACCCAGACUGGGACUGAGACACGGCCCAGACUCCUACGGGAGGCAGCAGUCGGGAAUUUUGCGCAAUUGACGAAAGUCUGACGCAGCAACGCCGCGUGAGGGAUGGAAGGCCUUCGGGUUGUAAACCUCUUUUAUCGAGGGAAGAUAAUGACGGUACCUGAUGAAUAAGUCACGGCUAACUACGUGCCAGCAGCCGC
rnacentral:rRNA from 1 species